rfam:Corchorus capsularis cultivar CVL-1 contig02580, whole genome shotgun sequence.
CCCAAGAGUUCAUAUCGACGGCGGUGUUUGGCACCUCGAUGUCGGCUCAUCUCAUCCUGGGGCUGUAGCCGGUCCCAAGGGUAUGGCUGUUCGCCAUUUAAAGAGGUACGUGAGCUGGGUUUAAAACGUCGUGAGACAGUUUGGUCCCUAUCUGCCGUGGGCGUUGGAAUCUUGACGGGGGCUGCUCCUAGUACGAGAGGACCGGAGUGGACGUACCGCUGGUGUACCUGUUGUCUCGCCAGAGGCAUCGCAGGGUAGCUAUGUACGGAAGAGAUAACCGCUGAAAGCAUCUAAGCGGGAAACUUGCCUGAAGAUGAGGAUUCCCUGGAGACUUGAUCUCCCUGAAGGGUCGUUCGAGACCAGGACGUUGAUAGGCUGGGUGUGGAAGCGCAGUAAUGCGUUCAGCUAACCAGUACUAAUUGCCCGUGCGGCUUGAUCCU